CCUCAGGGUAAAAGGGACUAAGAGGCUGGGUUCUCAGGAGUACUGAUGUCCCCAACUGCUGGCAAAGCAAGGCCGGCCUAAGAAGGCAUUGAAUAGAUCUCGGGAGAGGCAGAACUACUACGGGGAGGGCAGGGCAGAGCAGGGCAGGCAUUGCAGCCCAGAGUUUUUAGUGAGGCGAUCCCUGAGUUCCGGGAAGACGCGACCAGAAUCUCUGAGAACCCUGACGCGGGUUCUCAAGAAGUAUAAGCCUGCAACUCAUGGAUCCGAAGCGUGGAUGCGACAGUUCGGACUCAUACAUAGGUAUGAGAAAUGGAGGCCAACCUGAUCUACAAUCCAAGAUCCAGGCCAGCCAGGGCUACAUGAUGAGACUGUCUCUCGGGUUUUUUUCGAAAAUAAAAUACAAAAGUGC
rnacentral:lncRNA from 1 species